UACAGAGGUCUCAAGCGUUGUUCGGAUUCAUUGGGCGUAAAGGGUGCGUAGGUGGCGGGGUAAGUCAGGUGUGAAAUCUCGAGGCUCAACCUCGAAACUGCACUUGAUACUGCCUUGCUCGAGUACUGGAGAGGAGAUUGGAAUUUACGGUGUAGCAGUGAAAUGCGUAGAUAUCGUAAGGAAGACCAGUGGCGAAGGCGAAUCUCUGGACAGUUACUGACACUGAGGCACGAAGGCCAGGGGAGCAAACAGG
rnacentral:rRNA from 1 species